UGUCUGUGGUCUGUCUGCUGGUUAACGCGUGUCUGUGGUCUGUCUGCAGGUUAAAAUGUGUCUGUGGUCUGUCUGUCUGUAGGUUAACGUGUGUCUGUGGUCUGUCUGUAGGUUAAUGUGUGUCUGUGGUCUGUCUGCUGGUUAACGUGUGUCUGUGGUCUGUCUGCAGGUUAACGUGUGUCUGCGGUCUGUCUGCAGGUUAAAAUGUGUCUGUGGUCUGUCUGCAGGUUAAUGUGUGUCUGUGGUCUGUCUGCAGGUUAAUGUGUGUAUGUGGUCUGUCUGCAGGUUAACGUGUGUCUGUGGUCUGUCUGUCUCUAGGUUAACGUGUGUCUGUGGUCUGUCUCUAGGUUAACGUGUGUCUGUGGUCUGUCUGUCUCUAGGUUAACGUGUGCCUGUGGUCUGUCUGUAGGUUAACGUGUGUCUGUGGUCUGUCUCUAGGUUAACGUGUGUCUGUGGUCUGUCUGUCUGUAGGCUAACGUGUGCCUGUGGUCUGUCUGUAGGUUAACGUGUGUCUGUGGUCUGUCUGUAGGUUAACGCGUGUCUGUGGUCUGUAGGUUAACGUGUCUGUGGUCUGUCUGUAGGUUAACGUGUGUCUGUGGUCUGUCUGCAGGUUAACGUGUUUCUGUGGUCUGUCUGUAGGUUAACGUGUGUCUGUGGUCUGUCUGUAGGUUAACAUGUGUCUGUGGUCUGUCUGUAGGUUAACGUGUGUCUGUGGUCUGUCUGCAGGUUAACGUGUGUCUGUGGUCUGUCUGCAGGUUAACGUGUUUCUGUGGUCUGUCUGCAGGUUAACGUGUGUCUGUGGUCUGUCUGUAGGGUAACGUGUGUCUGUGGUCUGUCUGCAGGUUAACUUGUGUCUGUGGUCUAUCUGUAGGUUAACUUGUGUCUGUGGUCUGUCUGCAGGUUAACGUGUGUCUGUGGUCUGUCUGUAGGUUAACAUGUGUCUGGUCUGUCUGUAGGUUAACUUGUCUGUGGUCUGUCUGUAGGUUAACGUGUGUCUGUGGUCUGUCUGCAGGUUAACUUGUGUGUGUUGUCUGUCUCUAGGUUAACUUGUGUCUGUGGUCUGUCUGUAGGUUAACGUGUGUCUGUGGUCUGUCUGCAGGUUAACUUGUGUCUGGUCUGUCUGUA